rnacentral:rRNA from 1 species
GAUGAACGCUGGCGGCGUGCUUAACACAUGCAAGUCGAACGAAGCUACUUUUUAAGCUUGCUUUUAAAAGUGACUGAGUGGCGGACGGGUGAGUAACGCGUGAGGAACCUGCCUAGGAGUGGGGAAUAACAGUCCGAAAGGACUGCUAAUACCGCAUAAUGCAGUUGGGUCGCAUGGCUCUGACUGCCAAAGAUUUAUCGCUCUUAGAUGGCCUCGCGUCUGAUUAGCUAGAUGGCGGGGUAACGGCCCACCAUGGCGACGAUCAGUAGCCGGUCUGAGAGGAUGAACGGCCACAUUGGGACUGAGAUACGGCCCAGACUCCUACGGGAGGCAGCAGUGGGGAAUAUUGGGCAAUGGGGGAAACCCUGACCCAGCAACGCCGCGUGAAGGAAGAAGGCCUUCGGGUUGUAAACUUCUUUUACCAGGGACGAAGAACGUGACGGUACCUGGAGAAAAAGCAACGGCUAACUACGUG